rnacentral:rRNA from 1 species
UACGGAGGGAGCAAGCGUUACUCGGAAUUAUUGGGCGUAAAGGGCGCGUAGGCGACUCUAUAAGUCUUGUGUGAAAGCCCACGGCUUAACUGUGGAAGUGCACAAGAUACUGUUGAGUUUGAGUUCCGGAGAGGAAGGCAGAAUUCCCGGUGUAGCGGUGAAAUGCGUAGAUAUCGGGAGGAAUACCAGUGGCGAAGGCGGCCUUCUGGACGGAUACUGACGCUGAGGCGCGAAAGCCAGGGGAGCAAACGGG